GAGUAAUGCCUGGGAAAUUGCCUUGAUGUGGGGGAUAACCAUUGGAAACGAUGGCUAAUACCGCAUAACGCUUUUGUUUGUAAUGAACGGAAGCCAAAGAGGGGGACCUUCGGGCCUCUCGCGUCAAGAUAUGCCCAGGUGGGAUUAGCUAGUUGGUGAGGUAAUGGCUCACCAAGGCGACGAUCCCUAGCUGGUCUGAGAGGAUGAUCAGCCACACUGGAACUGAGACACGGUCCAGACUCCUACGGGAGGCAGCAGUGGGGAAUAUUGCACAAUGGGCGCAAGCCUGAUGCAGCCAUGCCGCGUGUAUGAAGAAGGCCUUCGGGUUGUAAAGUACUUUCAGCAGUGAGGAAGGUGGAUGUGUUAAUAGCGCAUUCAUUUGACGUUAGCUGCAGAAGAAGCACCGGCUAACUCCGUGCCAGCAGCCGCGGUAAUACGGAGGGUGCGAGCGUUAAUCGGAAUUACUGGGCGUAAAGCGCAUGCAGGUGGAUGAUUAAGUCAGAUGUGAAAGCCCGGGGCUCAACCUCGGAAUAGCAUUUGAAACUGGUCAUCUAGAGUACUGUAGAGGGGGGUAGAAUUUCAGGUGUAGCGGUGAAAUGCGUAGAGAUCUGAAGGAAUACCAGUGGCGAAGGCGGCCCCCUGGACAGAUACUGACACUCAGAUGCGAAAGCGUGGGGAGCAAACAGGAUUAGAUACCCUGGUAGUCACGCCGUAAACGAUGUCUACUUGGAGGUUGUGGCCUUGAGCCGUGGCUUUCGGAGCUAACGCGUUAAGUAGACCGCCUGGGGAGUACGGUCGCAAGAUUAAAACUCAAAUGAAUUGACGGGGGCCCGCACAAGCGGUGGAGCAUGUGGUUUAAUUCGAUGCAACGCGAAGAACCUUACCUACUCUUGACAUCCAGAGAAGCCAGUGGAGACACAGGUGUGCCUUCGGGAGCUCUGAGACAGGUGCUGCAUGGCUGUCGUCAGCUCGUGUUGUGAAAUGUUGGGUUAAGUCCCGCAACGAGCGCAACCCUUAUCCUUGUUUGCCAGCGAGUAAUGUCGGGAACUCCAGGGAGACUGCCGGUGAUAAACCGGAGGAAGGUGGGGACGACGUCAAGUCAUCAUGGCCCUUACGAGUAGGGCUACACACGUGCUACAAUGGCGCAUACAGAGGGCUGCCAACUUGCAAAAGUGAGCGAAUCCCAAAAAGUGCGUCGUAGUCCGGAUUGGAGUCUGCAACUCGACUCCAUGAAGUCGGAAUCGCUAGUAAUCGUGGAUCAGAAUGCCACGGUGAAUACGUUCCCGGGCCUUGUACACACC
rnacentral:rRNA from 1 species